UACGUAGGGUGCGAGCGUUAAUCGGAAUUACUGGGCGUAAAGCGUGCGCAGGCGGUGAUGUAAGACAGUUGUGAAAUCCCCGGGCUCAACCUGGGAACUGCAUCUGUGACUGCAUCGCUGGAGUGCGGCAGAGGGGGAUGGAAUUCCGCGUGUAGCAGUGAAAUGCGUAGAUAUGCGGAGGAACACCGAUGGCGAAGGCAAUCCCCUGGGCCUGCACUGACGCUCAUGCACGAAAGGCGUGGGGAGCAAACAGG
rnacentral:rRNA from 1 species